UACAGAGGUCUCAAGCGUUGCCCGGAUUUAUUGGGCGUAAAGAGCGUGUAGGCGGCCAUGUAGGUCCGUUGUGAAAACUCGAGGCUCAACCUCGAGACGCCGAUGGAAACCAUGUGGCUAGAGUCCGGAAGAGGAGAGUGGAAUUCCUGGUGUAGCGGUGAAAUGCGCAGAUAUCAGGAAGAACACCCGUGGCUAAGGCGGCUCUCUAGUACGGUACUGACGCUGAGACGCGAAAGCGUGGGGAGCGAACAGG
rnacentral:rRNA from 1 species